GGGCCCGUAGCUCAGUACGGUAGAGCGCUCGACGAUGGGGCGACGCUCUUAACCGAGUGGUCGCGGGUUCAAAUCCCGCCGGGCCCG
rnacentral:tRNA from 1 species